rnacentral:rRNA from 1 species
AAUCAACGCUGGCGGCGUGCCUCAGACAUGCAAGUCGAACGAUUAAAGCUCCCUUCGGGGAGUGCAUAAAGUGGCGCACGGGUGAGUAACACGUAAGUAAUCUACCCUCGAGUGGGGAAUAACAAUCGGAAACGGUUGCUAAUACCGCAUAAUGCAGCGGCAUCGCAGGAUGACAGUUGUUAAAGGAGUAAUUCGCUUGAGGAGGAGCUUGCGGCAGAUUAGCUAGUUGGUAAGGUAACGGCUUACCAAGGCUACGAUCUGUAUCCGGUCUAAGAGGACGGUCGGACACACUGACACUGAAUAACGGGUCAGACUCCUACGGGAGGCAGCAGUCGGGAAUUUUGGGCAAUGGGCGAAAGCCUGACCCAGCAACGCCGCGUGAAGGAUGAAGUAUUUCGGGUUGUAAACCUCUUUCAGCUCCGACGAAGCGAGAGUGACGGUAGGAGCAGAAGAAGCACCGGCCAACUACGUGCCAGCCGCCGCCGUAAG